GCCUUCUUUUUCAAUCGUUAAUCGGAAUAACUGGGCGUAAAGCGCACGCAGGCGGUUGGAUAAGCGAGAUGUGAAAGCCCCGGGCUCAACCUGGGAACUGCAUUUCGAACUGUCCGACUAGAGUCUUGUAGAGGGGGGUAGAAUUCCAGGUGUAGCGGUGAAAUGCGUAGAGAUCUGGAGGAAUACCGGUGGCGAAGGCGGCCCCCUGGACAAAGACUGACGCUCAGGUGCGAAAGCGUGGGGAGCAAAC
rnacentral:rRNA from 1 species